CAGUAAUUUAAAUGUGUCGAGGUCAUCGGGGCUGAGCUCAGGAGGUGGCUUCAGCUGUUGAGGGUGAAACACAAGCAGCGACUGCAGAAGUUUCUUUGCUCAACAUCUCCUUUCCACGCUUAGCCUGGGGGUUGCCCUAUCUCUCAGGACAUCCUGGUUGCUCUUCUACAUUCUUUUUGAGCCAGAGAUUCAAAGAGGGCCGACUCGAUGUGCUGCUGUUCCCUCACUCGCUGCUCCGCCAGCUCCUUGUUUAACUGGUCGAUGCGACGAUGGGCGUGUGCAAUGAGAG